rnacentral:lncRNA from 1 species
CAGAUGGAUGAUGAGCAAGGAAGUGAAGGGGACUAUUGUAUCUUGCAAGGUAAUGGUCUUACAGAGUACAUGUGCUGAUGGUAUCCAUGGGUGAAGUUCAGGAACUGAUGCAGAUACAGUGAGAUUUUUCAACUAACCUAAGCCUCUAGGUUUCGUGCGGAGGAAAAACGCUGCCAUUUUCUCCGGUUGAGGUAUUUUUUUCUGGUGAUCUGGAGCGCGGUUGCCAGUGUACGUAAGUCACGAUCUCAUUUCACGUGUGCUCUGGCUAUAACAAUUCGUGAGCCGAUAUCCACAGCAAUGCUCGAAAUUAUUCAGGCCUUCUGGAUAACUCUGAGCUUCGCACUUCUGCACCUCUGAUUUAGUUUUUCCUCCUCUUGAGAAGGGGUUAUUGGUCUUUUCGUGAGGACGAUCCCGUUCCUUCCUUGCAGUCUCUGGUUAAACCAUGGUUCAUCUUCAUCAUCGAUGUCAGGGAGUGCCAGGUCGUCUUCAUCAUCCUCUUCAUCAUCAGCUUCACCCCCAUGGAUGAGCUCCAAGAAGGUCUUCUUCACAAUU